rnacentral:rRNA from 1 species
GACGAACGCUGGCGGCGUGCUUAACACAUGCAAGUCGAGCGGAAAAGCCACUUCGGUGGUACCCGAGCGGCGAACGGGUGAGUAACACGUGAGUAAUCUGCCCCCCACUUUGGGAUAGCCACCGGAAACGGUGAUUAAUACCGGAUAUGACCCUUGAUCGCAUGGUUGUGGGUGGAAAGUUUUGCGGGGGGGGAUGUGCCCGCGGCCUACCAGCGUGAUGGUGGGGUAAUGGGCUACCGUGGCUUCGACGGGUAGCCGGCCUGAGAGGGUGACCGGCCACACUGGGACUGAGACGCGGCCCAGACGCCUAUGGGAGGCAGCAGUGGGGAAUAUUGGACAAUGGGCGGAAGCCUGAUCCAGCAACGCCGCGUGAGGGAUGACGGCCUUCGGGUUGUAAACCUCUUUCAGUACCGACGAAGCGAAAGUGACGGUAGGUACAGAAGAAGCACCGGCCAACUACGUGCCAGCCGCCGCGGUAACAC